UCUCAAACACAGCUGAAUUUAUUUGACAACAGUUGGUGUUUAUAUAGCCUUCAAAUACCAACUGUUGUCAAAUAAAUUCAGCUGUGUUUGAGA
rnacentral:pre_miRNA from 1 species